CGUCACGAGUUUUCGCGCCACUAACGCCGUGCCGGCCCGCGGCCCGCGGACCGUGAAACGCACGAUGGAAUUUAUUGCGUCGCUAAUGGGAAAUGGAAAUGCUACCAGGGACAACCGAGACAGCUCAUGGGACGUGGAACCGAUGAUGACGAAGAGAUUGGAAAGAUGCGCUCGCGCCGAUAGCUACUGGCGAUUCGCUCGUUUAACAGCGUAACGGCGAGCCAGCAGGAGUCAGGGCCGGUGACUGGCAUCGUGGAAGAAGAAACAGAGGGAAACAGAGACAGAGGGAGAAGGAUAAAAACGUGGCUGGACCCUAGGAGGGUGCUAGAAGGGUAAAAACCUGAUCCGACUAAUCAUUUCGAGCAGUGUUACCACGCAUCCAUAAUUGGAAGCGUAAUUGGAACCUGACCAGUGGUCAGGUGAAAAGUCGCGGUUUUUUCCCCCUCAACGUCGGACACGGAUUAAUGCCGGGCAACUUGAUGGAAAGUAAAAGGAGAAGAGCUUGAAUGUUGGGAUAAACGGAGGUCAGGAAUAAGGGCAGAGAGAAAAACGCGUCGGGAUCAUUCUGAAAGUGACAGAGGCAUGGGUCCCCGUGGUCGGGCCGUAGGAAAUUAACCGAACGUACGAGGGGAAAAAGAAGCUGACCGAGAGGAGAAAGAAGAAGAAGAAGAGGAAGAAGAGGAGGAAGAAGAAGAAGAAGCCGCGGCUCGCGCGCGACCAACACUCGUAAACCGUUCAAUCAAACGAGCCAGGAUGAAUCGUAAAGCGUGGUGCUGGUCGCGGUAGCGUUUCACAGAUUAAAUAGAAGUUUUUACGAGAAGGAACGAACCACCGGGAAUCACGCUCGAUUAUUUCAAAGUGUAGAGGACAUUCUACGUUGUGGGAAUAAUGGGGAUGUUGGAAUGCUUGGUAGCUGAAAGGGAAAUGGGUUUGUAGAUUAUGGGGUUUCGGGUAAUGUCUCCUGGCGAAUGGUACAUUGCAUGAGAUUGCGAUUCCCUUGAUGAUUUCUCCAGAUCUUUUUAUCCUUUCGAAUCGUGGAGAUUGUAGAUUUUAUGAAUGAGACGUCGAGAGAAUCGGGCAUACUGUAUAAUAUUUACUAUGUCUCGAGAUGAGUAUUCUCCGUGCAAAGAGUUAAUAUUAUCCUAUACCGGGUACUUAAUGUCGAACACGUUUUCGAGCGUACGUCAGCAGGGCAAUAAAUACGUGCUGGCUCGCAGAUAAGAGCGCAUUAAGCUUGAAGGGGAGCAGAAGAAACGUUUUCUAGGAGCGCAUAACUUCUUCUCCGUUGUAAUUCAACAGUUAUUUCGCCGGCACGGCAACGAGGAUAGUUAAAUCAUCGCGGGACGCUAGCAUCGAUCAUGCCGAGGGCUUGUUACCGUCUCACCGUGAAACUGUUUGUAUCUGUCUAUCUCGCCAGUAAAGAAUCUUAUCCGUUCGUCCAUCUACCUUCCCUAUUUCAAGCUGCUACCACGCAAGUAGCGUUUCCUCGGUGACUUAAAUACCUUCAACUCCCCCUAAAACACCUGAACCGUCUACGGGAUCCUGCUGAGUCUUUGUGUCACUCCUACUGGAUUCCGAUCUGCUUUUAUCGAGUUCCUUCGCUCCUUUCUCCCAUUCCUUUAUCGCUAUGUUGAAUAAGGACAGGCGAACACCGUAAACGGACCCUGAUCAAUCUUUUCCUAUCUUGGUCGAAAGGGUUGCUUUCACUGGAAGGUGAUAUGGGUAGAUUUUGGCGAACAUCGAAUGAAAAGAAACGAAGGGGCAAUUAUAGAAGCAAACAAAGGUAAAUGUCUAUAAUUAGGGCCCUAACGAAAAAUCAAUUGAAAAUAGGUAAACUCUAUGUUAUAAAUCUGGGGGUCGCUUGUGGUAAAUAUUGACAUAAAAUCAUUAUUUUCAAAAGUUAAUGACUUUGUGGGGUAGACAGUACUUUUAUAGCGCGUCACUAAUCUACAUAAGUUAGGUUAGGUUAUCAGAAAAAAUAUAACUUACCUCAUGGCAAAAACUUGACAAUCCAAUAAAACGUGCAAUCGUCGUGAUAUCAAGAUUAAAAUUGGUUAGCCACGUACCACUUCUAACGCUUCGUUUAAAUUCACACUUUGAAGUUAUUCUUUUCAAGGAGACUAUUGUUGACUGGUCAAGUUUUCUGAUAACCUAACCUAACCUAUGUAUCUUAAAAAACACAAACGACCCCCAAAUUUGUUCAACAGUUUUGGAUUCGAGGUGCAAAAAUACAUAGAAUUUACCUCACUUCAAUUGAUUUCUCGUUGGGCUCCUAAUUAUAGACAUUUACCCAAACAAACACCCACGAGCCGGAAGUUUCAUGCUGGUAGCUUUGUCGGUGAAUUGUAGGAAAAGUCGGUGCCGAGUAAAUUAAUCGCGUGGCCCGGCGUCAAUUAACCAAUACCCCCAUUACCGUCCAUCAAAACGAUAUUUACGAAGAUUAAUCGAGCGAAGAGCGUACCGUUAAUCGAGUCGAAGACGGUUUUAAGGCACCGUUCACAACGCCGGGAUCACCGUGAAAGGAGCGAUCGUAACGCGUUACGCUCGUACAUACGUAACACGCGCAGCUGCUUCCGGAUGCGAUUGCCGGAAGUGCUGCUAGCUACAUUCUUAUCAACGCGAUUUAUGCACGUGCACGCCGAUUUAUGCGAUACUCGUUACGUUCGCGACACGAGAUCACGUAUCAAAUGUGAAAAGAACAUUUUCCGUGGAAAGUGCGAGAUUAAAAUAAUAAACAAAAUGAUCCUGCAUUUUGCGUUCGAAUCUAAUUUUUCGUUUCUUUCUUUUUUCUUUUUUUUUACAGAAUUCAUUCAAUUUUACUCGCCUCUUCGUAUAUUUGUAUUGAAUUGUACGUUCACCAAUGGAAACCAGUUUGAACAUCCUAUAAAGUAUCCUCUCAAUUGAAAGGAUUUUUAUAGUCAAGUAGCUACAUUCAAUAAAACCUGUUUCUUCGUUUUCAAAUGAAAACACAGACACCUUCAUAAAUUUCACGCCGCGUCUUUAAAUCUUUCUUCUACACUAAAGAUUGUCUAGGUGUUUUAUAGAAAAACUUCUUCUCCCGAUUCAUAAAUUUCAUACACAUACCCGAUUUCUUUGUAUCACCAAUGAUCAUCGAUUCAAUCGAUCGCUCUGCCGCUUGUUAGCGUAAUUCUAUAUUGUCGACCGGUCGAGUUAAUUGCUAUCAUUCAAUUACAGUUGUUCGUCACGAAUCGCGAACGAUUCCUAAUGCUGGACGUACGAUUGAAUCGAUCGAAGAAUGACGAACGAGUAACAGUAGUUUUCUUGACUGGUUCGAAGCAUGAAAUAUACCGGAAUACAGUUAUGACUCGUUUCUAUGUCCAACCGGGUCUUAGAUGCAUUGACAAACGAUAAUUGCAACGUGGAAGUUGAAGACGUGAUUCGAAACUCUAAUGCGAAUAUAUUAGGCGAAGAUAACGUUAACGAUGCUCGAAGAGAUUAAUAGGCGAUCGAUUUAAAACCAAUCACCUUUUAUAAAAAAGUUCAUCCACGAAUCGAUCCAUCCUGGAUUAAUUAAGUUCGAUGCAAUCAUUGACGUGUGAAAUUACUCUUGUAACUCUAAAUAAAAA